GUUGCUAGUUCGUGUUUGCAUUCCAUCAAGGGUUUGACGGUUUUGUUCACUACGCACCACGUACAUCCAAAACAUGGAGGACCUGAGAAAGCCCUCUGUCAGUUUCCACUUUCACUUCAAGCCCACAGUCAAAUAAUGACGGCUUUAGCAAUACCUCCCGCAAAAAGUUUCGCACGGAGACAACGAGCUAGCUCAAGAAGCCACUUGGCAUGAGGAGAUCCGUACGUCGAACACUGUCUUCUUCAUAUACUCGUAUAACAAACAUCCUUUGGGGCUAUUGAAAAACCAUGUUCAAUGAAAAUUCUGCCACUGAGAGCAUGGCUUUUUGAGGACAGGAAGAUGAGCCCCUAUUAAGGACUGUUGCAAAGACACGGUUGCAAAGCCAACGGACGAAACACCUUUUGCGUUUGUAUGUCGAUCAAAGUUCUUCAUGUGCAUACAGUUUGAUGUGAGCAAGAUGAACUUCGGACCAAGAAAUGAGGACGAAAACCAGAGACUGGAAAUCGAUCCCUUAUCCCUUGUGUUACCACACAUGGGGGAGCCACUAAUUGAAACCAGAAGCUCUCUUGACCCAUUUACUGAUCAGGUUGAUUACCCUUUCUGUUCAACUUCACGAUACUCACACAAACAGAGCGUUGUCGUAUUACAGAUUACCUAUCUAUGUACCUACCUAAGCAACCUACCUAGCAAGAUUAUCCAGUACUAGUGAUAUUACUUGGAACAGCAGCCUCUGGAACAUCGAACUAAAUGCAUCGCUGAAGGUGGGAUUGGGUACUACGCUUGUUCGGUUGUUCGGUUGGUCGGUCGGUAAGUAGGUAUGUUGACCAACUUUCUGCACGCAUCAAGAGUUACUGGAACAUUUUGCAUCUAAUGCCCUUUGUCAGAGGAAGGUUCUAGCAUUUGUAGGGAUUCCAAAACAGGCGUCAAUUUGGUUGCCCUUUUACACAAGUUGAUUUUAACCAACUCAAGUAAUGUGCGGCUUCUCUUCCGGAAUCUAUCAUACAUUUUUGUGUGUUUAUCGGCGACAUCACUGCGGACAUAAAUAAUUCAAUGGCUUCAAAAGAGCAGGAAUUGAUACAAGAGAAUACCGUCAUGGGAUAUUUGAGAA